rnacentral:rRNA from 1 species
GACGAACGCUGGCGGCGUGCUUAACACAUGCAAGUCGAACGGAAAGACCCUGCUUUUGUGGGGUGCUCGAGUGGCGAACGGGUGAGUAACACGUGAGUAACCUGCCCUUGACUUUGGGAUAACUUCAGGAAACUGGGGCUAAUACCGGAUAGGAGCUCCUACUGCAUGGUGGGGGUUGGAAAGUUUCGGCGGUUGGGGAUGGACUCGCGGCUUAUCAGCUUGUUGGUGGGGUAGUGGCUUACCAAGGCUUUGACGGGUAGCUGGCCUGAGAGGGUGACCGGCCACAUUGGGACUGAGAUACGGCCCAGACUCCUACGGGAGGCAGCAGUGGGGAAUAUUGCACAAUGGGCGGAAGCCUGAUGCAGCAACGCCGCGUGCGGGAUGACGGCCUUCGGGUUGUAAACCGCUUUCGCCUGUGACGAAGCGUGAGUGACGGUAAUGGGUAAAGAAGCACCGGCUAACUACGUG